UAAUGCCGGAUGCUCCGACUCCUCGCAUGGGGUGUCGGGAAAGAUUUCAUCGGUAUGGGAUGGGGUCGCGUCCUAUCAGGUAGUCGGCGGGGUAACGGCCCACCGAGCCUACGACGGGUAGCCGGCCUGAGAGGGCGACCGGCCACAUUGGGACUGAGAUACGGCCCAGACUCCUACGGGAGGCAGCAGUGGGGAAUAUUGCACAAUGGGCGCAAGCCUGAUGCAGCGACGCCGCGUGCGGGAUGACGGCCUUCGGGUUGUAAACCGCUUUUGAUCGGGAGCAAGCCUUCGGGUGAGUGUACCUUUCGAAUAAGCACCGGCUAACUACGUGCCAGCAGCCGCGGUAAUACGUAGGGUGCAAGCGUUAUCCGGAAUUAUUGGGCGUAAAGGGCUCGUAGGCGGUUCGUCGCGUCCGGUGUGAAAGUCCAUCGCUUAACGGUGGAUCUGCGCCGGGUACGGGCGGGCUGGAGUGCGGUAGGGGAGACUGGAAUUCCCGGUGUAACGGUGGAAUGUGUAGAUAUCGGAAAAGAACA
rnacentral:rRNA from 1 species